rnacentral:rRNA from 1 species
GACAGAGGGUGCAAACGUUGUUCGGAAUUACUGGGCGUAAAGCGCGUGUAGGCGGCUCUGUAAGUCGCGUGUGAAAGCCCCCGGCUCAACUGGGGAGGGUCACGCGAUACUGAUCGACUCGAAGGCAGGAGAGGGAAGUGGAAUUCCCGGUGUAGUGGUGAAAUGCGUAGAUAUCGGGAGGAACACCAGUGGCGAAGGCGGUUACCUGGAGCUUUGCUGACGCUGAUGCGCGAAAGCGUGGGGAGCAAACAGGG